ACAGCCUCUGGGUUCUUAGCUGUCUAAUGUGCUGUUAAGUGCCUUCUCAAGCAUGGAUAAUAGAUAUUAGGAAUAGAAAAGGAAAGCAACCUUUUCAAUUAAGGACAAAAUGUACAGAAAGUAAAAUGACAUGAGCUGCAUAUUGGCUCUUAUUCGCACAGUCUCCAGAUACAAUCAGUAGGUGCUCAACCAGAUAAUUACAGCCUUCCUGCAAAAGGCUUCAUGUAGGAGAGUCACCUGCCUGCCUGCUACCACUUGCAGGAUCAGAGCUACUUUAUUUUCAGUGUUGCAGAUUGUGGAAUUAGUGUUUUCCAACUUCUGUUUAAAAAAGAAGCAUUUUUCUAGCACGUCUCCUUCCAGCGGGCUGCUGCACCAGGUCCAGCUGCCCAGCGCCAGAUCCAGAAUGGUCCAUCUCCAGAUGAGAUGGAAGCACAGAGAAGACAAGUGAUGGAGCAACAGCAACAGCGCCAGGAAUCUCUGGAAAGAAGAACCUCUACCACAGGCCCGGCACUUCCACCUGGCCACCCCAGCGCUGCUGUGCUCCCCGUUUCAUCGGGGGGGGGGGGGGGGGGGGGGGGGGGGGGGGGGGGGGGGGGGGGGGGGGGGGGGGGGGGGGGGGGGGGGGGGGGGGGGGGGG
rnacentral:lncRNA from 1 species